rnacentral:rRNA from 1 species
AUGCACACCAUCACAGAGGCCAUCGGCGGCACCUUCUCCUUCAUCGAGAACAAGGCUGUCAUCCAGGACUCUUUUGCGCAGUGCAUCUGUUGGCUUCUGUCGGUCGCCGUGUAGGAGGCGCGUAUCGCUGUCGAGUGCGUGUGUCCUGGCGUUCGCGCUCGGUCCAUCAAGUCAGGACGCUACAAGAGACGCGUUGACUCUGACGGGUGCACUGCCACAGUGGACGUCGGCGAGCUCUAUGCCAACAAGGAGAGGCGCUUCCUGCUUUCGGUGGAUGUGCCAACGGUCGGUGCCACGGACAACGUCAUGCCCCUGAUGAUGGUGAGCUGCACAUACCGCGACAUCGCGACCGAGUAG